UCCCAUUUCACAGAUCGCGCCCAGACGGCGGGGCUUAUUUUACAUCAGAAGCCCAUGUGCAUAUGCAUUGAUACAAGUCCCUGAAAAUGAUCUUUUCGUUAUAAACAAAGCCCUAGUUUUUCUGCAAACUGAAAAAAUGGCGCCCAAGCGGAGAAGUCAGAAGUUAUACCUGCCGGAAGAAGUUUGGGUGGAGAUCCUCUCAAGGCUCCCCGUGAAAACUCUUCUUCGAUUCAAGUGCGUAUGUCGCCAAUGGCGGACCCUAAUCUCAUCUCCUACCUUCGCCUCUUUGCACCUCAACCGCUCAAUUUCGAAUCCGACAAGGCGUUCCAUCCUUGUUUUUGAUCAAUACGAAGACCAAUUUGUGUCCUUCGAUCCUGUUACCUUUUCUCCUAUAAAGAAAUUCAAUGCUGGGCUGGAUCGGGUCAACUGUUUUGGCUCGGAAAUUAUGUGUGUGGGCUCAACCAAUGGCGUUCUCUGCAUAAUUGAUGAAUCAGGUAGGAUCUGGCUAUGGAAUCCGUCCACCAGACAGUACAGGAAACUCCCACCUGGUAUAAAUGAUCGUUCAACUUUUCUUUCCAUGGGGUUUGGUUUUGAUUCCGUUUCUAAUGAUUACAAGGUUGUAAUCCUUGGGUUUAGAUAUAUAAGAGAAGGGGAACAUGGAAUCUGGGUUGAGGUGUGGUCGUCCAAUUUAGAGUCUUGGAGGGAGAUUAAAGUUGAUUACAGUUUUCGCCGGGGGAUAUCAGUUUGUGACGUGAUAGUGGAGGGAUCUGUUCACUGGUUUGUCAUGGAUUCUUCCAGGGGGAGUAGAGGAAGAAUGUUAGUUGCUUCCUUUGACAUGAGAACUGAGUUACUAGGGGUGAUUCCGUUGCCUGAAUCCAAGCACAAUUAUAUAUUUUCUGGAUUCAAUUGGAAUGAAAAAUUUGCUUUGAUAACAUGUGAUAACCCCCAGAAGUACAGGAGAAUAUAUCAAGUGUGGACAAUAGAAAGUGACAGUGUUGGGAAGGAAUCUUGGAGUAAGAAAUUUACAUUUGAACUUAAUGUUGGGAGCGUUGCACAAUAUCGAUCCAUGCUAAACACUGUAAAUGGAAAAGUGGUACUGGAUAAAGGUGGAAAACUGAUGUUUUAUGACGUAGAAACCAGAAAAAUGAAGACAGUUGGAACUCAUGAAGAUGAAUUCUUCCCACUUGGGGCUUAUUCCUAUGUGGAGAGCUUACUGUCAAUCAAGGGGUUCAGUCCCCUUGGACAAGAUGGAGUCAACGAGAACUAAAUCGAGGUUAUGUUGUAAAUGAAAUCUAACUAAACUGUCUUGUGUAAGAAAUUGGUGGGUUCAUGUCCAUCCUUAGCUUUUGAGAUUGUAGGUCAGCAGCUACUUUAACGAUAUAUAGCUGGAUUUGCAACAUCUUCUGUCUUGUAUCCAAAGCUGUCAUAUAUUUCUAAUUCUUGUAAGUUGAUAUGUGCAUUAUUAGAUAGAUAUUUAUUAAUGAAACUUGAAGCAGAACUGUUGUUAGAGGCUGUGUUUAUGGUGUUAAUUGCAGGUUUUUGAUGUAAUGAAUAUUUCUUGUUUUCUUAUUUUGAUGUAAUGAAUGUUGUUCUUUCUUUUAAA